rnacentral:rRNA from 1 species
UGGGGAAUCUUGCACAAUGGGCGAAAGCCUGAUGCAGCAACGCCGCGUGCGGGAAGAAGGCCCUAGGGUUGUAAACCGCUUUCAGUAGGGAAGAAAAUGACGGUACCUACAGAAGAAGGUGCGGCCAACUACGUGCCAGCAGCCGCGGUGACACGUAGGCACCAAGCGUUAUCCGGAUUUAUUGGGCGUAAAGAGCUCGUAGGCGGUUCGGUAAGUCGGGUGUGAAAACUCUGGGCUCAACCCAGAGAGGCCACCCGAUACUGCUGUGACUAGAGUGCGGUAGGGGAGCGGGGAAUUCCUGGUGUAGCGGUGAAAUGCGCAGAUAUCAGGAGGAACACCGGCGGCGAAGGCGCCGCUCUGGGCCGUAACUGACGCUGAGGAGCGAAAGCAUGGGUAGCAAACAGGAUUAGAUACCCUGGUAGUCCAUGCCGUAAACGUUGGGCACUAGGUGUGGGUCUCAACCAACGAGAUCCGCGCCGUCGCUAACGCAUUAAGUGCCCCGCCG